rnacentral:misc_RNA from 1 species
UUUCCGUAGGUGAACCUGCGGAAGGAUCAUUAACGAGUUAGGGUCUUCCAGUCCCGACCUCCCAACCCUAUGUUUAUUGAACCUCUGUUGCUUCGGCGGACCCGCCGCACGCCCGCCGGAGGACCGCUGCAAGGCGUCCACUGGCCAGCGUCCGCCGAUGGCCAACCACUUAAACUCUGAAUGAAUCGUGUCAUAUGUCUAUGUCUAUGAUAAAAUUAAAGCAAAACUUUCAACAACGGAUCUCUUGGUUCUG